rnacentral:rRNA from 1 species
CGGAAUGCUUUACACAUGUAAGUCGAACGGCAGCACGGGAGCUUGCUCCUGGUGGCGAGUGGCGAACGGGUGAGUAAUAUAUCGGAACGUAUCCAAUAAUGGGGGAUAACUAAUCGAAAGGUUGGCUAAUACCGCAUACGCCCUACGGGGGAAAGCAGGGGAUCUUCGGACCUUGCGUUAAUGGAGCGGCCGAUAUCUGAUUAGCUAGUUGGUGGGGUAAAGGCCCACCAAGGCGACGAUCAGUAGCUGGUCUGAGAGGACGACCAGCCACACUGGAACUGAGACACGGUCCAGACUCCUACGGGAGG